GGGCCGUUAGCUCAACUGGCAGAGCAGCGGACUCUUAAUCCGCGGGUUGGGGGUUCGAGUCCCUCACGGCCCACAA
rnacentral:tRNA from 1 species